UAACACACAGCCACACCCCCAAGCU
rnacentral:piRNA from 1 species